rnacentral:piRNA from 1 species
UACACAUAUGUAACAGAUGCGCAGCUUGGUC